CAGGGUCACAGGAGGACUGACGGGCAAAGACACAGUUACAGACCUAUGAACAGAGCCGCAAGCCAAACAGGGACAAACCGUUGAGGUCUCACCACUCAUUAGUUAAUACCUCAACAUCUUUCUCCAGGAUCCCAAUGACAUGUGCCCUCAUCUGCCUCUCUGCGUCCCCUUAGCAGUAUAACCUCAAACCAGGGGAUGGACCCAGGCAGUCCCCACCUGAUGACUGUUGGUCUUGACUGUGUGCCUCACAUUCAGAGUCUUCUUAGGAACCCAUUGGCACAACAUGGGAUGAGGCCGUGUCCGCCCCACCCUGGUGCUGUAAUGCCAGCGCACCCUGGAAGCCUGCUGUCCUGGGCAGGUUGUCCCCCUCAGCGCUCUGCUUUCUGACUUUAGGCUUGUUCCUUUUCUCUUCAGUGAAACCGCAAGCUCCUCAGAGUUGGAGUUCAUUGGAUCCUUCCAGCCCUUCGCACACUGCAAUACAUGAGCUGAGCCUCAGCACAAUGGAAACAACUCACCUCUGAGCUGGUGCUUGGGGACACAAGGCUCGGAAGUCCCAGGACAGAACAUCUGUGUUCUUUGAGGGAAAAUAUCAUGAGAAGACAACUCCAUGGCCUUUGCCGAAGCACAGAAUAUGCAUUCUGUUCACACUGGUGGUGACAGACAGUGAUAGUACUGCAAGCGUCUUUAUGUAAUGAUGAGCCUAAAAGGCAGCCUCGGCUCUCAGAUCGAAUGUUCACCUUCACCAGGGCUCAACUGGCUCCGGGGGCAUCUAAUAGAGUUCUGCAGUUUAGGAAGGUACCACUGGCUCAAUUUUGCUGGAGUCCCCAUUCUGUGAUUGAUUGGAGCUAAGCAUGAUACCCUCGGGCUGUGUUCUGUUCUAUCACUGAGAUGAUCCAAAGUCACUUCCUCUCUCUCAGUGACUGACCCUGCUUGAGUCUGGGACAGUCUCUGCUCCCUUCCAGCACCACUGGUCUAAAAACCCUAUGAGUCAGUUGUAUGGCUGCUGACACUCAUGCUGCUCUCAAUGAUCUACACUCAUCAAAAGCAGCAGAAGUCCCCAAGACCAACAUCACGUUGUACUUAUGUAACUUGAAUAGCCACUUCGACAGCCUCUACCUACAAAAUAAAGCUCUAUGUUUCCUAUUAAUAGCAGCAACCUCACCACCUAGAAGCUGGACCUGCUCACAGUGUCUCCUGGUUAUUUCUGGAGUCUCCGAGGGGUGACCCCACAAACAAGGGUGGUAAUGGUGGUCACCAUACUGGCUGCCCUGUCACCCUCUCUGCUUUGCUCCCCCUUCACCUCUCUGCUACCUGCUGCCUCCAUAGGUGUUGAGAGAUGUCUCACUGGGAUCACUGUCCCUACAGAAAUGCCCAACCUGCCAAUUCUGGGUCUUCCCAAAGCUGACAGCUGGGCAGAGCAGAAGGACUCAUCUCUCCCACCCUGAGGUACAUGCAUGCCCUGGGCCACACAGCAGUCCUGCUCUGCCCCAUAGCCUUGCAACUUCUCUCCCAAACAUUUUAACCAGCUUCUGUCCCUUAUCCGUUAAACAGAAUCUCACCACAUCUCAAGAAAAACAGUCCUGGCACUUUCUGGCCCUCCUUCCUUCAACCACAGAAGCUCAAAACCAGCCCCAGGGUUGGGAAGGGUGACAAAGUCAUUGCGCCAUUUCUGUGUUCACCAGGACUCCGAAGACAUAAAUGACAGAAACCCAGAGCAAAUUUGCGUAAACAAAAAUGGGACCCAUUUGGUGGGGAAGCUAAGAAGGUUUCUGGAACAGGUCACCAGCCCUGAGGAAGAGCUGCAGGAAGCAGGGCCUUGGGGUGGG